AACGAACGCUGGCGGCAUGCCUAACACAUGCAAGUCGAACGAGACCUUCGGGUCUAGUGGCGCACGGGUGCGUAACGCGUGGGAACCUGCCUUUAGGUUCGGAAUAACUCAGAGAAAUUUGAGCUAAUACCGGAUAAUGUCUUCGGACCAAAGAUUUAUCGCCUUUAGAUGGGCCCGCGUAAGAUUAGCUAGUUGGUGGGGUAAAGGCCUACCAAGGCGACGAUCUUUAGCUGGUCUGAGAGGAUGAUCAGCCACACUGGGACUGAGACACGGCCCAGACUCCUACGGGAGGCAGCAGUGGGGAAUAUUGGACAAUGGGCGAAAGCCUGAUCCAGCAAUGCCGCGUGAGUGAUGAAGGCCUUAGGGGUUGUAAAAGCUCUUUUGUCAGGGAAGAAACGGUAGAGUUCUAAUAAAGACUUGCUAAUGACGGUACCUGAAGAAUAAGCACCGGCUAACUAACGUGCCAGCAGCCGCGGUAAU
rnacentral:rRNA from 1 species